UAGCCGCGGAAUACCAGCUCCCCCGAGUGGUCGGGACGUUUAUUGGGGCCUGAAGCAUCCGUAGCCGGCUGAGCAAGUCCCCCCGUUAAAAUCCAGCGAUUCAAUCGUUGGAUUGCGAGGGAUACUGUUCAGCUAGGGGGGUGGGAGAAGCCAACGGGUAUUCCCGGGGUAGGGUGAAAUCCUAUAAUCCCGGGAGGACCACCAGUGGCGAAGGC
rnacentral:rRNA from 1 species